rnacentral:lncRNA from 1 species
UGGACUAGGCAAUCCUCUCUCCCUUCUCUCUGACACACCUGCAGGGAAAGACGGGAACCCUGUACCACACCAGGGCCAGCCUAGAGGCCUUCUGGAGUGCUGUCUGGGAUCUUGGCCCCUGGGCUUCUCAGCCAUUGCCGCUGCCUGGAUGUGAUAAAGAAAGGAUCCUGCGGAAGGCUGGGGUUGUCCCCUCCUCCACAGGGUCCAUCUUCCAGGGCUGCCUCUCAGGGCCUGGCACCUGGUGAUGGACCCCGGAAGGGGUGGCUCCAGCUCUCCCCCUCUUCCUCCUCCCCUCCUUCAAGUCAACAGGGCCUGCAGCGAUGAACAGCUGGGCCAAGAGGCAAAACUUGGUGCUGUUGUGGAGCCUGGCUCCAGGGCCCCAGAUGGAGGCGUCCACGUGUGGUGUGGUGCCAGAAGAGACCUGGAGGAGUUGACCUUCCAUGGGACAUGCAGAUAGCCUCCCCAUAGGGCCUGGCCUUCAGCACUGCCCACUACCCAUGUGCCCAGCAACCCAGCUCCACUAACAUCAUGAUGCAGUGGCUGCUGGGCAUGAGCCCGGUCCUCCCUCCAGGCUCAGAAGAGCUGCAACGCAGACCACUGAGAACAAAAGACCAAGACCCCUAGGAGGUCCAGGCAGCAGAGGUUCUGUGCAGCUGGGCAGCUGGGGCAGCUGGGGCAGCUGGGGGUGAGGGAGAUGCAGACCGCCAGCACUCAGACUGCAGGGGCAUGUUGCACAUCUGAGGUGGAGUCGGUCCCAUUCAGGGCGAAACCCGGGAGAGCCUGGGCACUGAGGCUCUGAGGAAAGAGGACACGAUGUGGGAGGCAGCAAAUGGGCCACCCACAGGGGAGACGGCACAGAAAUUACUGAAAACAGGCCCACGCAUCCCACCCGAGAUCCUUUAGAGGUAAGGCCUUGCACACUCACACAUCGAGAUGAG